GAGUGGCGAACGGGUGAUUAAUACAUCGGAACGUGCCCUGUAGUGGGGGAUAACUAGUCGAAAGAUUAGCUAAUACCGCAUACGACCUGAGGGUGAAAGUGGGGGACCGCAAGGCCUCAUGCUAUAGGAGCGGCCGAUGUCUGAUUAGCUAGUUGGUGGGGUAAAGGCCUACCAAGGCGACCAUCACUAGCUGGUCUGAGAGGACGAUCAGCCACACUGGGACUGAGACACCGCCCACACUCCUACGGGAGGCAGCAGUGGGGAAUUUUGGACAAUGGGCGAAAGCCUGAUCCAGCAAUGCCGCGUGUGUGAAGAAGGCCUUCGGGUUGUAAAGCACUUUUGUGCGGAAAGAAAUGGCUCUGGUUAAUACCUGGGGUCGAUGACGGUACCGGAAGAAUAAGGACUGGCUAACUACGUGCCACCAGCCGCGGUAAUACGUAGGGUCCAAGCGUUAAUCGGAAUUACUGGGCGUAAAGCGUGCGCAGGCGGUUGUGCAAGACCGAUGUGAAAUCCCCGAGCUUAACUUGGGAAUUGCAUUGGUGACUGCACGGCUAGAGUGUGUCAGAGGGGGGUAGAAUUCCACGUGUAGCAGUGAAAUGCGUAGAGAUGUGGAGGAAUACCGAUGGCCAAGGCAGCCCCCUGGGAGAACACUGACGCUCAUGCACGAAAGGGUGGGGAGCAAACACGAUUAGAUACCUUGGUAGUCCACCCCCGCCCCUAAACGAUCUCACUAGUUGGAUUCAUUUCCUGUCGAAAAAACGUAGCUAAGCGUGAGAGUUGACCGCCUUUGGGGAGUACGGGUCGCAAGAUUAAACGGGGACCCGCACAAGCGGUGGAAGAUGUGGAUUAAUUCGAUGCUUCGCGAAA
rnacentral:rRNA from 1 species